UCAUUAGUAGUGAGAUUUAACUAUUCCUUUUUCUUUCUUUGUUUUUGUUAAGUGUGUCUGUUUUAAGUGCAGAAGAAAAAAAAAUCAACAACCUAACCACAAGACUUCUAAAAAAUUAGGUUUAUCCUCAGUAUUCCAAACAGUGAGGAUGUUCCACAUUUUCAGAGGAGAUCAACUUUUCCUUUGCAGUUUCCUCAGCCCUGGACCUCCUUCAACAGGAUCUGACUUGGCAUCAGUCUCUGAGAUAAAAAUUCCUGCUCCAGCUGCUCUAGAAUGAAAGAAAAACACUAGAAGAAAUCUAGAUUUGCAAUUCGUAUGGCUGCAGCUCAGAAAUAAGUUCUAUUUGGCUCAACAACAUCAGCUCUCUGAGUCUUUCUUCAUCUGAGAGAUUCCAGCCCUUUGACCAUUUCCGUAGCACUCCUCUAGACAUGCUGUAACAGGUCCAUUGCAUGGGAUGCACUACUCCAGGGAGAGUCCAAGAAGAGGAGAAUGACCUUGCUUGACUCAGCAUCCAUGCUUCCAUUAAGCAACCUAAGAAGCAAUUUACUUUGUGGUCUGUGUGCACACAUUGCUAGCUCAUGUCCUAUUUUUCAUCCAUCAGUGACCCCAAGUCCUUUUCCACAGGGUUGCUCUCAAUCAAUUCAUCACUCCGUCUGUAUUGAUAGCAGGGAUUGCCCCAACCUAAUUGCAGGACCUUGCACUUGGCCUUGUUGAAAUAAUACAAUCCUUUGUAAUGCUUCAGCAGCUUUGUUAUUCCUUAUGCUGUUUUGAAUGCACUACUUUACAAGUGGGCCUCAAAAUUAAGCAUAUUAAGUACAGUUUUUCAAAUAGGGUUUUACAGCUUAGAGGAAGUGGAAAGAAUAAGAAACCUUCAGACCCUGCUGCUUUAAUAUACUGGAAGGUCCAGUAGGCUAAGUGUUGAAAUUAAGGGUGAUAGAAAGGACAAGAAACUUCUUAUGAUGAGAUUUUUCCAUCUAGUUUAUACUGAUUUUUAGUUGACUUCAUAAGACAAAACACAAACACAAUCCCUUGCAUGUAAAAUACCAUGCUUACACUUUUUGGUGUGUAUCUGAUCAAUGCAUAUUAUUCUUGUGCUAGUUUGAAGCUAGAUAGAAGGUUUUGGUGAGAAGAACUAGAUUACAGGCUGUGAAAGGGACACAAUGGUGAUGUCUACUUCACUCAUAGGCUUGCUGAGAUGUAUAAGAACAAGAACCCAGACAGAGAUAACACAGACACUCUGGGCCUUGUGGGCUGAACUUCCCUCUCUCUAACCUAACCUGCCAUCUGUGUGACUAAUCCACCUGCUUCCUAACGCCCCUGGCUGACCCUCCAUACUACCUCAAACAGAAGGCAAGAUCUUGGGUAAGGUUGAGGGGUGGGAGGAAAGGUGGAAGGGUGGUUGAGAGCCCCUCCUGGGGACUCAGGUUUCUGGGAGGGGAGUUGUGUUUCUGUAUUACCUUUUACCUUGUAUAUUUCUGUCUAUA